CCUACGGGUGGCUGCAGUGAGGAAUAUUGGUCAAUGGCCGAGAGGCUGAACCAGCCAAGUCGCGUGAGGGAAGACGGCCCUACGGGUUGUAAACCUCUUUUGUCGGGGAGCAAAGAGUGUCGCGUGUGACUCUUUGAGAGUACCCGACGAAAAAGCAUCGGCUAACUACGUGCCAGCAGCCGCGGUAAUACGUAGGUGGCAAGCGUUGUCCGGAAUUACUGGGUGUAAAGGGAGCGCAGGCGGGUAGCCAAGUCAGCUGUGAAAACUACGGGCUUAACUUGUAGACUGCAGUUGAUACUGGUUUGCUUGAGUGAAGUAGAGGUUGGCGGAAUUCCGAGUGUAGCGGUGAAAUGCGUAGAUAUUCGGAGGAACACCGGUGGCGAAGGCGGCCAACUGGGCUUUAACUGACGCUGAGGCUCGAAAGUGUGGGGAGCUAACAGGAUUAGAUACCCCUGUAGUC
rnacentral:rRNA from 1 species